CGGACGGGUGAGUAAUGUCUGGGAAACUGCCUGAUGGAGGGGGGUAACUAUUGGAAACGGUAGCUAAUACCGCAUAACGUCGCAAGACCAAAGAGGGGGACCUUCGGGCCUCUUGCCAUCGGAUGUGCCCAGAUGGGAUUAGCUAGUAGGUGGGGUAAAGGCUCACCUAGGCGACGAUCCCUAGCUGGUCUGAGAGGAUGACCAGCCACACUGGAACUGAGACACGGUCCAG
rnacentral:rRNA from 1 species